GAUGAGCGCUGGCGGCGUGCCUAAUACAUGCAAGUCGAGCGAACGGACGAGAAGCUUGCUUCUCUGAUGUUAGCGGCGGACGGGUGAGUAACACGUGGAUAACCUACCUAUAAGACUGGGAUAACUUCGGGAAACCGUAGCUAAUACCGGAUAAUAUUUUGAACCGCAUGGUUCAAAAGUGAAAGACGGUCUUGCUGUCACUUAUAGAUGGAUCCGCGCUGCAUUAGCUAGUUGGUAAGGUAACGGCUUACCAAGGCAACGAUGCAUAGCCGACCUGAGAGGGUGAUCGGCCACACUGGAACUGAGACACGGUCCAGACUCCUACGGGAGGCAGCAGUAGGGAAUCUUCCGCAAUGGGCGAAAGCCUGACGGAGCAACGCCGCGUGAGUGAUGAAGGUCUUCGGAUCGUAAAACUCUGUUAUUAGGGAAGAACAUAUGUGUAAGUAACUGUGCACAUCUUGACGGUACCUAAUCAGAAAGCCACGGCUAACUACGUGCCAGCAGCCGCGGUAAUACGUAGGUGGCAAGCGUUAUCCGGAAUUUAUGGGCGUAAAGCGCGCGUAGGCGGUUUUUUAGUCUGAUGUGAAAGCCCACGGCUCAACCGUGGAGGGUCAUUGGAAACUGGAAAACUUGAGUGCAGAAGAGGAAAGUGGAAUUCCAUGUGUAGCGGUGAAAUGCGCAGAGAUAUGGAGGAACACCAGUGGCGAAGGCGACUUUCUGGUCUGUAACUGACGCUGAUGUGCGAAAGCGUGGGGAUCAAACAGGAUUAGAUACCCUGGUAGUCCACGCCGUAAACGAUGAGUGCUAAGUGUUAGGGGGUUUCCGCCCCUUAGUGCUGCAGCUAACGCAUUAAGCACUCCGCCUGGGGAGUACGACCGCAAGGUUGAAACUCAAAGGAAUUGACGGGGACCCGCACAAGCGGUGGAGCAUGUGGUUUAAUUCGAAGCAACGCGAAGAACCUUACCAAAUCUUGACAUCCUUUGACAACUCUAGAGAUAGAGCCUUCCCCUUCGGGGGACAAAGUGACAGGUGGUGCAUGGUUGUCGUCAGCUCGUGUCGUGAGAUGUUGGGUUAAGUCCCGCAACGAGCGCAACCCUUAAGCUUAGUUGCCAUCAUUAAGUUGGGCACUCUAAGUUGACUGCCGGUGACAAACCGGAGGAAGGUGGGGAUGACGUCAAAUCAUCAUGCCCCUUAUGAUUUGGGCUACACACGUGCUACAAUGGACAAUACAAAGGGCAGCGAAACCGCGAGGUCAAGCAAAUCCCAUAAAGUUGUUCUCAGUUCGGAUUGUAGUCUGCAACUCGACUACAUGAAGCUGGAAUCGCUAGUAAUCGUAGAUCAGCAUGCUACGGUGAAUACGUUCCCGGGUCU
rnacentral:rRNA from 1 species